ACAUACGGCCAUAGAUUGAAGAAUAUACGGGAUCCCGUCCGCUCUCCCAUAGUCAAGCUUCUAAUCGCCUCGUUAGUACUGCGGUGGGUGACCACACGGGAAUCCGAGGUGCUGUAUGCU
rfam:A.immersus 5S rRNA gene, b2-type